UCCUCAGUAGCUCAGCUGGUUAGAGCGGCGGACUGUUAAUCCGUAGGUCGCAGGUUCGAUCCCUGCCUGGGGAG
rnacentral:tRNA from 2 species